rnacentral:siRNA from 1 species
CACGUAGUUGCCGUAAACUCCA